UGAGAACCCUUCUCUGGACAAGAAGGAUCAGGGGCCAGAAUUACCUUUUUGGCCUUAGCUGGCAGUGACAAGUUGCGCUGGACAGAGCGAGCUUUGGACCUCCUUGAUAAUCUUGUUGAGAGGUACCCCUGGAGAUGACCACUUGCAGCCUUCCAGUUAUCUUUUCUCGAUUGCUAAACUGGACAGCCUUGGAGAUCCCGCUUUGGAGAUGGUGCUUUAACAACUUUGCCAGCUAUCCCUUCUCCACUGCCAUACAGAUUGUGCAGCAAGAUGGUUCGGCCCUCAUACCAGGAGGCAAAGCGAGAAUUUGUUGAUUUGCGAC